CGUGGCUAACCUGCCCUUGGGACAGAAACAACCCCGGGAAACUGGGGCUAAUUUCCGAUAGGUGAGGAGUCCUGGAAUGGUUCCUUGCCCAAAAGGCGUUUAGGGCAUGCUUCUAGGCGUUGCCCAAGGAUGGGGCCGCGGCCGAUCAGGUUGUUGGUGAGGUAACGGCUCACCAAGCCUUUAACCGGUGCGGGCCGUGGGAGCGGGAGCCCGGAGAUGGGCACUGAGACAAGGGCCCAGGCCCUACGGGGCGCAGCAGUCGCGCAAAUUUCACAAUAAGCGAAAGCUUGAUGGAGCCAUCCCGAGUGCCAUCCGCUGAGGAUGGCUUUUCCCUAGUGUAGAUAGCUGGGGGAAUAAGGAGAGGGCAAGUCUGGUGUCAGCCGCCGCGGUAAUACCAGCUCUCCGAGUGGUGUGGAUGAUUAUUGGGCCUAAAGCAUCCGUAGCCGGCUGGGCAAGUCCCCCGUUAAAUCCAACGAAUAAUCGCUGGCCUGCAGGGGAUACUGCUCGGCUUGGGGGCGAGAGAGGCCGCCGGUAUUUCCGGGGUAGGGGUGAAAUCCUAUAAUCCCGGGAGGACCACCAGUGGCGAAGGCUGUCGGCUAGAACGCGCCCGACGGUGAGGGAUGAAAGCUGGGGGAGCGAACCGGAUUAGAUACCCGGGUAGUCCCAGCUGU
rnacentral:rRNA from 1 species